GGUUCUACGGUGUAACGGUUAGCACUCUGGACUUCGAAUCCAGUGAUCCGAGUUCAAAUCUCGGUAGAACCC
rnacentral:tRNA from 1 species